AAAUAUUUCGACCCAAGUGAAUAGUGAGUAACGAAAUUCUUUUUUCAGUGCUCGCUAUCCAGGCGAAGAAGAAACGGUCCCGAAACCCAAAGGCUGGCAAAAUGAAGGUUCAGCAACGACGCGCUCCAGAUCCGGCCUCUAGUUUGACUGAAACGUACAUACGAUCGUCCGACGCCAUGUAAGCUGCUGUGCUUUAUGUCCUGAAGACCUGAAGAAGGUCGCAUUGUACAUAACUUUCCUACAAAUUUCUUAAUUAAAGACGAUUUAACUCCAUGUAAGUAUUCCGUGUAAGAUUUAUUUUUGUAGAGGCGCUAUUUUGUCAUAAUAUUUAAGGUAAAAGGAACUUGUGCAAAGUGCCCCUAAAAAAAUAAUGAGUUUUUAAGCAAUUUGGCAAGAUUUAUGACUUGAGUUUUUCAACAGACAGAAAAAGGUUAUGUAUGUAAAUUUUAAACAAAUGAACGGUGCAUCAAGGUUGUGUAUGAGAAGCGUUAAGGCAAUGCUUUGUUGAAGGGAACUGCCUUGUUGUAAAGGUGUCACGUACGUUUGCCAGGUGCAGUAAGAAUGGCGCACUGAAGGUCAAUCAGAAAAACAACGGAUGGUUCAUGAAAUGUGAACAUGUUUUGGAUUUCGUAGGCUGUUCGCCGUGACAAUCUUUCGUGAACUUUCUAGUGAGCUAUUCAAAUGCCCGAAGACUCUAUGCAAAUCACUGAAGCUCACCACCAUACAAUGGAUAUGUUGGUUUGAAGCCAGUUUGAUACUUCGUUUGCUUAGUAAUAUGGUUUUGCAGCGUUUGUGUACUUCAAUAUGUAGACGACCUACUAGCAGUAAAAUUUUCUUAAAAUCUAUAGUGUGGUACCCCACAGCUGAUUUUGAUUUCUUUAAUUUACUUAAUACCAGCUGCGACUUUCUUUCAAAGUUGAACAUGUAAAUCCGUGCAGUUUAAGAGCUGUUAUUAUGUUGCGUGUGUUUUGUGAAAAAAAUAUUUUCAAAUUCUCAUAAUUUUUAAAAGCCAAUGUUAUUAUUUUGUUGUGUAUGUGUAAAUACAAUGAACGGAUAUUCUGUGUAUAUAUAUAACAGCAAGCAAGAUUUGUACAAAAGUACAUAUAGAAAGCGGUGAUUCAAUCGUUCAUUUGUCGGUUUUUUUUUGAGGAGAAGUAAAAAUAGGCUGUAAACGUUAAGGCGCACUACGCAAUUUACAAUAUCAUUCUUCUAAAUUGCAUGGCACACUGAUUGCCUUAGACUGCUAUUUGACAGUGUUGUGGCGGUGAAAAUACCGAAGCUGAUCAUGCGCAGGUCCACUGAAAUCGUCAAAUUUUGUUUAUAGAUAUGUACAAAGAAUAAUAAUCCCCGAAAUAGAACGCAACAAUAUAGUCGUAACAGAUAAGUCAUUUAUUUUCAAUAACCACUAGUUAUCUGGUAUAGAAGUAAGGUUUUAACAUAUUUUAGAUAAGAUUUUCCUCAUCGUGCAUUAGUAUGCCCUUUUUAUGUUAGGACAUGAGAUUAUUAUCAGUAUUUGCGCGACCUACGAAGAUCAAGUAAUGCAAUAACAUCUACAAAUCCUAGUAAAAUUUCAUCGGCAGCUAGAAUAUAAGCAAAAUGUGAACUGUGUCUUCGAGUUUUAGCAUCAAGAAAGUAUUUUAAUUUACUCUGGAAGACCCCCAGUGCUCUUUUUUGCAAGAAAAUCUGCACUAGUGUGCCUAGUGUGUGUUAAAAAGUAACCCAAAUAGAUACCAAUAUUAUAAUUGACUAAGUGAAACAUUCGUCGAUAUUUUCGUGAUAAAAGCAGCUCUGACUUACGAAUAACGGCUUCGUGUACAACUCGCAGUGCUUAUUUUUUAGGUUUGAAAGCGGUAGUUCAUGUAUACAAGACACAGUAGGUUGUAUAUGGGAAUACUGUAGAUUAUAGAAUAAUCGUCCUCAUCAUGUGUCCAUAAUCUUUAUCGAUGUGUAUCCGGUGCCGGAGCGUCACAGUAAAAAGUAAUUCGAUCGGAGCAUUGACUCACAAGUAUCGAGCGCUUCAUAUUGGAAAUAACUGAAAUGGCAAGUAGUGCUGCGAGCAAGUGUGCGUAAUCAUAUAAAUCUAUUUGUGUUGUAUGAAGUAUGUGGCAACUAGUGGAAAUCAUCGAAUACGAGGUCGAACAAAAGGAACUCUAUUUUGUUCAAGAUGGUGAUGAUCAGGCGUCCGGUUUUGCUUCCGUCAGUAAUGAAAAUUGCGUAACGUCUCGUUGUUGCUAUAAUACACUGAAAUGGAAUCCUUGUAUUAGCACAGUAUGCAACAAGGAACAUGUAGGGCUGGAUUAUGAGUCAACCAAGGAAGACGGUUCGAUCAGCUGCGUUAAAGACCUUCAAUGGAGACCCAGGAAGAGUGGUGGCGGAGUCGUUGGAACAAAAUCUAAUGGCUCUUUUCAUAUUGGUCCUCCUUCAAGCGGAGUCGGCGGAGGUUCGGGGGGCUCAGCAGGAUCCGCAGGGGAAAGUGAUGCAUCGUCAGAUGAGAAUGGCGAUGCCGGGGCAUUGAAUGAGGCUGAAGAGGAGGCCGAGGAUGAAGAGCAGGAAGAUUCAAAAGACUACUGCAAAGGCGGCUACCACUAUGUGUGCAUUGCCGACGUAUUUCAAGGCCGGUAUCACGUGAUUCGCAAACUAGGAUGGGGCCAUUUCUCUACCGUAUGGCUUUGCUGGGACUUCCAAGAUAAAAGGUUCGUUGCUCUGAAAGUUGUAAAAAGUGCGCCACAUUACACAGAAACUGCCGUUGAUGAAAUCCGUCUUCUUCGUUGCGUACGCGAAAGUGACGAAGCUGAUCGUGCUCGACAUUCAGUGGUGCAACUUCUUGACGAUUUCAAAAUCGAGGGCGCAAAUGGCACCCAUGUAUGCAUGGUCUUUGAAGUGCUGGGACACAAUCUGCUCAAGCUUAUUAUUCGGUCCAAUUAUCAGGGAAUACCGAUUAACAACGUGAAGAUCAUCAUGCGACAAGUGCUGGAGGGUUUGGACUAUCUCCACCGAAAGUGUCACAUAAUUCACACGGACAUAAAACCAGAAAAUAUUCUUGUCUGUGUCAACGAAACCUACAUUCGGCGGUUGGCAUACGAGGCCACUCAGUGGCAAAAGAUGGGCUUACGUUUACCGCCGUCGCUAAUUUGUACAGCCCCCCAAGAUAUAGCACAGAUGCGUAUGUUAACAGCUAAUGGGGAAAAAAUCUCAAAAAAUAAGAAAAAACAGCUACGCAAGAAAGCCAAAAAGAACCAGGAGCGUAUUGAAAAGGAUAUGGCUAGACUGCAACGAAUGGACCAUAAGCAAGCUGAAGCCGAUGAUGAUACAAUGAAUCCAGUGAGCGACGAAUUAGGAGAAGCUGGCGGAACGCUGCACGGUCCGCACGGCAUGCACGCAGCCAACGGAACACUAAUCAUGCCAAAAAGUUCAGAGCAUGAACAGGAUCUCAAGCGAAAAGAGCUGCAGUAUAUGGUGAUGCAGGAGGCAUCCGGUUGGGCAGAGGGUAAAGAACCUGGCUGGUGGGAACGACAUCCUGAGGACAAACGUAGUUGCAGAGAAAUAAGUAAUUCUGGCGAAAAUUCUUCGUUGCCCACUAUUGACGCUAUGGAUGUAUCUCCGCCACCUCCGAAGUCACCGAAAGGGGGUUCCAAAUCGCCCUCGCUGCUACGACCCGAUGGUGAUCGAAAGUUAGAACGUAGUGAGACAGUAUUGCUGUCACCAGGCCGUCUGUCGACGCAAAACUCACUUAUCGGCGGUGGAGGUGAGGAUAGCGGCUGUCAGCAGAGGACGCUGUCGCAGGAGGCCAGCUCUCAAGUGGAACUGCGGAGAGUGGCUUCAAUGCCGGAGACGCAGGCUGCAACUGCAAACGCUGGAGGAACUCAGGGGGCUCAUAGUGGUGGAAGCAGCCGCUGGGGGAGUAACCGUCGAUCGCUCCCGCCGCCUCAACCCGAUCCUGUCCGGCAGGACUGUCCAAAUCUUCAAGUGAAGAUUGCUGAUCUGGGCAACGCUUGUUGGACUCAUCACCAUUUCACGGAGGACAUACAAACUAGACAGUACCGAUCCCCGGAAGUUCUGCUCGGGGCUGGUUACGGUACUGCGGCAGAUCUAUGGUCAACGGCGUGCAUGGCUUUUGAAUUGGCUACAGGAGACUAUCUCUUUGAGCCUCAUUCUGGACCGGACUACUCCCGUGACGAAGACCAUCUCGCACACGUCAUUGAGCUGUUAGGAGAGAUUCCUCGUCAAAUAGCUUUCUCCGGCAAAUACUCCCGCGAGUUCUUCAAUAAGAAGGGUCAGCUGCGACAUAUCACUAAGCUGAAGCCGUGGGGUCUAACCGAAGUACUCACCGAAAAGUAUGAUUGGUCCCAUGAGGAUGCUCGGGCAUUUGCCGAUUUUCUAGAACCAAUGCUUGACUAUGACGUGAACAGAAGGGUAACCGCACAGCAAGCUCUGCAACAUCCCUGGCUGCAGCUUUCUUAAACCUAUAUCCGCUGAAGGAGUUCUUUUCAAAAAUCUGUGAGGCCUCUGGACCAGUUCGAGCCAGAAGAUAGAAAGCGAUAUGCGGUAAACUGGGGCGCUGAAACGGAUUACCUAAAAGUAAGACACCAAAGCGUGGUAGGUGUUCCUUAUACUUAAAAACAAGCGAGAUUGGAAGAUGGCUUGGUAUGAAUUUAUCGAUUACCGCUAUGUAGGGAGAUGUUACUGCAAACAGCGCAUAUAAUGGACCGAUACGGGGCAAAUGCCUGUACGUCAUUCGAUUAAUGGAUGCCGGUGUGUCGGCACCGUAAAUGGGAAUACAAUGAACGACUAGUUGCCGGUGUUUGUGAUAGCGAAGUUGAUGAAAGCUAAAUUGACUGAAGAAAGAAGCAGAGCUGUCAGCAGGAUUUGAGCACUCAUAGUGGACCAUCAUGGACCAAGCGAAAAAGCAAGGAUGAUCGAGAAAAACGAAAAGACCGAAGUAUAUAAUAUUAGAAGGUCAGCCAGUCGUGCAAAAUACGGAAAGCGGAACGGAAGAUUAUAACAUAUAGCCACCUAUAUGUUAGGAAAAGUAGAAAAAAUCACUGUGCGAAGAUGGAAAGCUCGAUAUACUAGCUGAUCGUGGGUGACCAGUAAACUUAUUAUUAUUAAAAUGAACCAUGCCGCGAGAGUAGGGCUGGCAUAUAUCUGUAUGUGAAUACAUGCUAUUUGUGUAUACGCGCCCAGCAACCAGAAGAGUAUAUAAUAAUGGCUUGGUUUCGUCCACAUAUUCAUCAGUGCUGGUGGUCAUGUUAGAAGGGCCAACGAACAUUGGUAAAGUGAGAACUAAUGAAGCGGCAAACUAUAGAACAGGAUGUUACGUCGAGGAAGCAUAUUAGCAAAGAGAAAUAAAGCAACAAAAAAGAACGAAUUAUGAGGAAGAAGAGCGGGCGUUGUAAAUGAAAGGAGGAUAGCUGAUCCGAUAAUCGUUGUCGAUCGAAUUACAACGAACCCAAGGAAGAUGAUAACGAAUCCGUAAAAGAUGUCGUACGUUCAAUUAUGCAUGCAAGACAUGCAUAUGCAGACAUAGUUGAUCAAGAAUGUUGCCGCCGCUUGUUUUAUAAUUUGGGUCCGCAGUAUGAGAUAUCUAGAUGCGAUGUAGUUUAAACUCUGCUGAAAUAAUGACUAUCAUUUAUUGCUUAUCUAUGGUCACAAAAUUCAAGCAGGAUUAUGUGACGUCACGUCGUACUAUAAUAUCGCGAAUAAUAUUGAGAUCCCUUAGCAAUUCCAGAUGAAUCAUAAUAGUAGUCGUAUGUGUGUGUCGGACGGCCGUUGCGUUUUUUUUCAUAUGUACCCAAGAAUGAAUAUGUGACCGGAAGUGAGGACUUCAAACGACAUUUCUAUUAAAGACAUCUAACAAAUUAGGCUGAGUCGUCGGACAAGCUAUAACGAAUCAUGCCCAAAAACAAGCGGGAGUAAGUGUCUAUAAAGGUAAAUCAAUGCUAGCUUGAGGUGAUCAAACUCAUGUCUGUUUGUUUCGCCUUAUGCUGAUAUCUUAAGGUGAUAAAAAUAUUAGAAAUCAGAUCGAUAAAUGAAGAUCCCCAAGGAAGAUAGCAGCAACUGUUCUCUACUAGACAUGCAAAGGCGCAGAACCACAUAAAACAUAAAUAUAUUGAUACCAAUGGAACCAAGAAGGAAAAACUAAUUGUAACAUAGGACGAAAUUAGUGUCUGUCGUCACCAUAUUGCAAGCACUGCUUUAUUUGGAAUGUUAUUAGCAAGUCGAACAUAGUGUCAUGCACGUGUCGGACAAUGGCGAGUGAUGGCAGAAAGCAACAAACAAACAAAAACGGACAAAUUAUUUUGCAACCGCUACGUAUCUUGCUCGCUCUUUGUGCAAAGAUUUGUUUGCUUACAGCAACGUGCACAAACUAACCAACAAAAAUAUCAAUGAAAAAUCAUAAUUACGCCGAAAUUCAUAUAAAUAAUGAACCUCUUAACCAAAUUGGCAAGGGAAAGGCCAAAAUGAAGGAAAAAGAGAUGCAGACAGAGAGAGGAAAUAAGAAUGAGGGGCCUCAAUUCCAUUUAGUAUUUAAGAAAAGUAACCACCACCAAAGGUGAUUGAUGCCAACUUGGGGUACAGAAAGGGAUUGUGGAUAACUGUAAUGGGGACAUAACAAAAAUCGGUGGAAACAUAUAGACUCUGAGGAACGGUAACAGUGAUUAUCGGGUGUGUGUAUAUAUACUGCUUUGUAAAUCUACUAUUCAAAUAAAAGCACUCUCACUUAGAAAAAAAUUCUUCAUCUUUGUGCCUACGUGUGCUCAGUACAAAACGUAACUGUAACGAUUAUUUAUUACAUUUUUGCUUUAAAUGUGCAAUUGAUCUUUUU